GGCACCGUGGCCUAAUGGUAAGGCGCUGCUUUCCGGCUCGUGAGCUUGGCAGAGAUUGUGGGUUCGAGUCCCAUCGGUGUCG